CACGCUGGCUUGCUGUAGCCACAGCUCCAGCUCGGCCACCUGAGUCUGGCAGACAUGGAGGACUUCCGCAGGCCGAGGCCUUGUCUUCUCCACUGUGGCCCCAAGAGCUCCUUGCUUGUCAGAAGAGUCCAGAGCUGCAGCCUUGGUCGGGGGUGUGGUGGCCUACAAUAAACCCACAGGUAUCAUCUGUCAGAAGCAAAGACCUGGGGGAGAUCCCCUUUUUGUUACCUGAGAUAAAAAUCUGUUAUUAAUUAAUCUGUAAUAAAUGAUUUACCAUU